AGAGUUUGAUCCUGGCUCAGGACGAACGCUGGCGGCGUGCCUAAUACAUGCAAGUCGAGCGAGCUUGCCUAGAUGAUUUUAGUGCUUGCACUAAAUGAAACUAGAUACAAGCGAGCGGCGGACGGGUGAGUAACACGUGGGUAACCUGCCCAAGAGACUGGGAUAACACCUGGAAACAGAUGCUAAUACCGGAUAACAACACUAGACGCAUGUCUAGAGUUUGAAAGAUGGUUCUGCUAUCACUCUUGGAUGGACCUGCGGUGCAUUAGCUAGUUGGUAAGGUAACGGCUUACCAAGGCAAUGAUGCAUAGCCGAGUUGAGAGACUGAUCGGCCACAUUGGGACUGAGACACGGCCCAAACUCCUACGGGAGGCAGCAGUAGGGAAUCUUCCACAAUGGACGAAAGUCUGAUGGAGCAACGCCGCGUGAGUGAAGAAGGGUUUCGGCUCGUAAAGCUCUGUUGGUAGUGAAGAAAGAUAGAGGUAGUAACUGGCCUUUAUUUGACGGUAAUUACUUAGAAAGUCACGGCUAACUACGUGCCAGCAGCCGCGGUAAUACGUAGGUGGCAAGCGUUGUCCGGAUUUAUUGGGCGUAAAGCGAGUGCAGGCGGUUCAAUAAGUCUGAUG
rnacentral:rRNA from 1 species